UUGAAUGACCAGCGGAGGGAUCAUUACCGAGUUUACAACUCCCAAACCCAAUGUGAACGUUACCAAACUGUUGCCUCGGCGGGGUCACGCCCCGGGUGCGUCGCAGCCCCGGAACCAGGCGCCCGCCGGAGGAACCAACCAAACUCUUUCUGUAGUCCCCUCGCGGACGUAUUUCUUUACAGCUCUGAGCAAAAAUUCAAAAUGAAUCAAAACUUUCAACAACGGAUCUCUUGGUUCUGGCAUCGAUGAAGAACGCAGCGAAAUGCGAUAAGUAAUGUGAAUUGCAGAAUUCAGUGAAUCAUCGAAUCUUUGAACGCACAUUGCGCCCGCCAGUAUUCUGGCGGGCAUGCCUGUCCGAGCGUCAUUUCAACCCUCGAACCCCUCCGGGGGAUCGGCGUUGGGGAUCGGGACCCCUCACACGGGUGCCGGCCCCUAAAUACAGUGGCGGUCUCGCCGCAGCCUCUCCUGCGCAGUAGUUUGCACAACUCGCACCGGGAGCGCGGCGCGUCCACGUCCGUAAAACACCCAACUUUCUGAAAUGUUGACCUCGGAUCAGGUAGGAAUACCCGCUGAACUUAAGCAUAUCAAUAAGCGGAGGAA
rnacentral:rRNA from 1 species